rnacentral:lncRNA from 1 species
CUCUGUGCAAAGGCAGAGGCUGUGGGAGCAGCAUCAAGCAAGACUUCGGGCAGUGAUUCUAACUAUUGCCUAUGAACACCGUGGCUGGGACGACUUUGACGAGGCAAUUUAUUACUUACGCAUAGAACACUGGCUGUGCUGAAACUGGGAGCGCAAACAGCCCCUUGUUUUCUAAUUUAGAGACUUGCAUCUUUUCGACACUCAACAGUAUCAAGACACUCUGCUACUACAGAUUGAUUUCCACCAUCAACACCUUUACCUCUUCCCGCCUGAAAAUAAAAUAUGAAAUAUAACAAGUAAAUCGCAAUCUACCUUGAAUCUUCUGGAGAGGAAAGAAGAAACCAUGUCUAGACAAGGUGCUGGAAAGACCCAGGGAAGACACAGGGAAAUCAUCUUUCGGGAAUUUAUCUAAGAAGAACUUCUUAUG